GGCUUAGAAGCAGCCACUCAUUAAAAGAGUGCGUAAUAGCUCACUGGUCGAGUGAUUCUGCGCCGAAAAUUUAACGGGGCUAAACUAUACACCGAAGCUUAGGAUACCGCAAGGUAUGGUAGGAGAGCGUUCUGUACGGAGUGAAGUCGUAGCGAAAGCGGCGGUGGACUGUACAGAAGUGAGAAUGCCGGAAUAAGUAGCGAGAAUUAAGUGAGAAUCUUAAUGGCCGAAAGUCUAAGGUUUUUGGAGGAAGGUUCGUCCGCUCCAAGUAAGUCGGGAGCUAAGGUCAGGCCGAAAGGCGUAGCCGAUGCACAAACGGUUGAUAUUCCGUUACCGUCUACAAUUUAAACAAAGGGACACAUACAAAGCGUUUAACCCGGGCGAUGGUUGACCCGGGCGCAAGGGACUGAAAUAAGAGUAGGGAAGUAAAUGUGGCGUAUGGCGAGAAAAGCUUUGUGAAUAGAAGUAGACGCCCGUACCGCAAACCGACACAGGUGGACAGGAAGAGAAUUCUAAGGCCAGCGGGAGAAGGGUAGUUAAGGAACUCGGCAAAUUGACUCCGUAACUUCGGAAUAAGGAGUGCUCGAAAGAGCCGCAGAGAAUAGGCCCAGGCGACUGUUUAGCAAAAACACAGGUCUCUGCCAAAUCGAAAGAUGAAGUAUAGGGGCUGACACCUGCCCGGUGCCGGAAGGUUAAGAGGAGGAGUGCAAGCUCCGAAUUGAAGCCCCGGUAAACGGCGGCCGUAACUAUAACGGUCCUAAGGUAGCGAAAUUCCUUGUCGGGUAAGUUCCGACCCGCACGAAUGGUGUAACGAUCUGGGCACUGUCUCAACUACCCACCCGGCGAAAUUGUAGUACCGGUGAAGAUGCCGGUUACCUGCGGCAAGACGGAAAGACCCCAUGGAGCUUUACUGUAGCCUGAUAUUGGGUUUCGGAAAUCUAUGUACAGGAUAGGCGGGAGACUGGGAAGUAUGAGCGUCAGCUUAUACGGAGUCAUUGUUGGGAUACCGCCCUUAGGUUUCUGGAAUUCUAACCUGCGACCGUGAAUCCGGUCGGGGGACAUUGUCAGGUGGGCAGUUUGACUGGGGCGGUCGCCUCCGAAAAGGUAACGGAGGCGCUCAAAGGUUGGCUCAGCACGGACGGAAACCGUGCCUCUGAGUGUAAACGCAAAAGCCAGCCUAACUGCGAGGAUGACGGUCCGAGCAGUAACGAAAGUUGGAGUUAGUGAUCCGGCGGUAUGUGAAUGGAAAUGCCGUCGCUCAACGGAUAAAAGCUACCCUGGGGAUAACAGGCUGAUCU
rnacentral:rRNA from 1 species